UACGUAGGGUGCGAGCGUUGUCCGGAUUUAUUGGGCGUAAAGAGCUCGUAGGCGGUUUGUCGCGUCGGCCGUGAAAUCUCCACGCUUAACGUGGAGCGUGCGGUCGAUACGGGCAGACUUGAGUUCGGUAGGGGAGACUGGAAUUCCUGGUGUAGCGGUGAAAUGCGCAGAUAUCAGGAGGAACACCGGUGGCGAAGGCGGGUCUCUGGGCCGAUACUGACGCUGGAGGAGC
rnacentral:rRNA from 1 species